AGAGUUUGAUCCUGGCUCAGGACGAACGCUGGCGGCGUGCCUAACACAUGCAAGUCGAACGGACGAGGAGGAGCUUGCUUCUCCAAGUCAGUGGCGGACGGGUGAGUAACGCGUGAGUAACCUGCCCUUCAGAGGGGGAUAACGUCUGGAAACGGACGCUAAUACCGCAUGACAUAUUUCCAUCGCAUGGUGGAGAUAUCAAAGGAGCAAUCCGCUGAAGGAUGGACUCGCGUCCGAUUAGAUAGUUGGCGGGGUAACGGCCCACCAAGUCGACGAUCGGUAGCCGGACUGAGAGGUUGAACGGCCACAUUGGGACUGAGACACGGCCCAGACUCCUACGGGAGGCAGCAGUGGGGGAUAUUGCACAAUGGGCGAAAGCCUGAUGCAGCAACGCCGCGUGAAGGAUGAAGGGUUUCGGCUCGUAAACUUCUAUCAAUAGGGAAGAAACAAAUGACGGUACCUAAAUAAGAAGCCCCGGCUAACUACGUGCCAGCAGCCGCGGUAAUACGUAGGGGGCAAGCGUUGUCCGGAAUUACUGGGUGUAAAGGGAGCGCAGGCGGAGAAGCAAGUCAGUGGUGAAAACGAUGGGCUUAACUCAUCGACUGCCAUUGAAACUGUUUCCCUUGAGUGAAGUAGAGGCAGGCGGAAUUCCGAGUGUAGCGGUGAAAUGCGUAGAUAUUCGGAGGAACACCAGUGGCGAAGGCGGCCUGCUGGGCUUUAACUGACGCUGAGGCUCGAAAGCGUGGGUAGCAAACAGGAUUAGAUACCCUGGUAGUCCACGCCGUAAACG
rnacentral:rRNA from 1 species